rnacentral:rRNA from 1 species
GCCUACAGCCAUGCCACCCUGAACUAGCCCGAUCCCGUCUGAUCUUGGAAGCUAAGCAGAGUCAGGCCUGGUUAGUAUUUGGUUGGGAGGGCAGGAGAUCACCUAGGAAGACCAGGUGCUGUAUGCG